AGUGGCUUACGGGUGAGGAAUACAUCGGGACCUACCUAGACGUGGGGGAUAACGUAGGGAAACUUACGCUAAUACCGCAUACGUCCUACGGGAGAAAGCGGGGGAUCUUCGGACCUCGCGCGGUUAGACGGACCGAUGUUCGAUUAGCUAGUUGGUGGGGUAACGGCUUACCAAGGCGACGAUCGAUAGCUGGUCUGAGAGGAUGAUCAGCCACACUGGGACUGAGACACGGCCCAGACUCCUACGGGAGGCAGCAGUGGGGAAUAUUGGACAAUGGGCGCAAGCCUGAUCCAGCAAUGCCGCGUGUGUGAAGAAGGCCUUCGGGUUGUAAAGCACUUUUAUCAGGAGCGAAAUACCAUCGGCUAAUACCCGGUGGGGCUGACGGUACCUGAGGAAUAAGCACCGGCUAACUUCGUGCCAGCAGCCGCGGUAAUACGAAGGGUGCAAGCGUUAAUCGGAAUUACUGGGCGUAAAGCGUGCGUAGGCGGUGAGUUAAGUCUGCUGUGAAAUCCCCGGGCUCAACCUGGGAAUGGCAGUGGAUACUGGCUCGCUAGAGUGUGAUAGAGGAUGGUGGAAUUCCCGGUGUAGCGGUGAAAUGCGUAGAGAUCGGGAGGAACACCAGUGGCGAAGGCGGCC
rnacentral:rRNA from 1 species